GCAAACUUGGUCAUUUAGAGGAAGUAAAAGUCGUAACAAGGUUUCCGUAGGUGAACCUGCGGAAGGAUCAUUACACAAUUCAGGGCUUGCCCUGUCUUACUCACCCUUGUUCUUGUACCCGUUUCCUCGGCGAGGGCCCCGCCGAAGGACAAAUUUUCUAAAAACUUGUAGUUGCAAUUAGCGUUAGAAAAACAUAAAUACUUAAAACUUUCAACAACGGAUCUCUUGGUUCUGGCAUCGAUGAAGAACGCAGC
rnacentral:misc_RNA from 1 species